AUAAUGUGUGUGCACGUUUAUUCUCUCUGUGCCCGCAGAGCCCGACGCGCCCCGCGCCCCUCAGCCAGCCUGAGAGGAUGGGGCAGUUCACUCUCCAGCCCGCACCGGCCCCUCUGCCUUGUGGAUUUGGGAAACGUCAGGAAAAGAUCAGAGCAAGGAUCCUGCUACUUUUUAUUCCCAUCCUCUGGUCUUCACCUUCAAGGAAACACUUACAGGAACCUGGCAAACGGAAAGGAAAAUGUGUGGCUGUCUUACUAAAUGUACGUAUACAUAUCUCCCUGGAACUCGCGGAUCUGGAGCACUUUGGCGAACUCAUUCAAGGAAAUGCCACUUGCACGCCCGCCUCACACUCGGUACUUUGAAGAUGGAAAGGACUAAUUAGUCUCCAGGCAUGAAGUGGCAGCCAAGACAUCCACGGCAGCUAGAGCGAACAGGAAG